rnacentral:rRNA from 1 species
UUACCGAGUGCGGGUCCUUUGGGCCCAACCUCCCAUCCGUGUCUAUUAUACCCUGUUGCUUCGGCGGGCCCGCCGCUUGUCGGCCGCCGGGGGGGCGCCUUUGCCCCCCGGGCCCGUGCCCGCCGGAGACCCCAACACGAACACUGUCUGAAAGCGUGCAGUCUGAGUUGAUUGAAUGCAAUCAGUUAAAACUUUCAACAAUGGAUCUCUUGGUUCCGGCAUCGAUGAAGAACGCAGCGAAAUGCGAUAACUAAUGUGAAUUGCAGAAUUCAGUGAAUCAUCGAGUCUUUGAACGCACAUUGCGCCCCCUGGUAUUCCGGGGGGCAUGCCUGUCCGAGCGUCAUUGCUGCCCUCAAGCCCGGCUUGUGUGUUGGGUCGCCGUCCCCCUCUCCGGGGGGACGGGCCCGAAAGGCAGCGGCGGCACCGCGUCCGAUCCUCGAGCGUAUGGGGCUUUGUCACAUGCUCUGUAGGAUUGGCCGGCGCCUGCCGACGUUUUCCAACCAUUUUUUCCAGGUUGACCUCGGAUCAGGUAGGGAUACCCGCUGAACUUAAGCAUAUCAAUAAGCGGAGGAAAAGAAACCAACCGGGAUUGCC